GAGUUUGAUCGUGGCUCAGAUUGAACGCUGGCGGCAUGCCUUACACAUGCAAGUCGAACGGCAGCAUGAUCUAGCUUGCUAGAUUGAUGGCGAGUGGCGAACGGGUGAGUAAUACGAUCGGAACGUGCCCUGUAGUGGGGGAUAACUAGUCGAAAGAUUAGCUAAUACCGCAUACGACCUGAGGGUGAAAGUGGGGGGACCGCAAGGCCUCAUGCUAUAGGAGCGGCCGAUGUCUGAUUAGCUAGUUGGUGGGUAAAGGCCCGACCAAGGCGACGAUCAGUAGCUGGUCUGAGAGGACGAUCAGCCACACUGGGACUGAGACACGGCCCAGACUCCUACGGGAGGCAGCAGUGGGGAAUUUUGGACAAUGGGCGAAAGCCUGAUCCAGCAAUGCCGCGUGUGUGAAGAAGGCCUGGUGUAAG
rnacentral:rRNA from 1 species